CCUGUAAUAUCAAAUAUCCUUGUCACACUGAAUCUCCCUGAGAAAUACGGUAAGGGUAUACAUGUCUAUGGAGUUCUCAGACACUUGCACGUUAAUUUCACAAGCAGGCAGUUCUGUUGAUUGGGUCAACUGGAACCCUUGC